rnacentral:rRNA from 1 species
GACGAACGCUGGCGGCGUGCUUAACACAUGCAAGUCGAACGGAAAGGCCCUGCUUUUGUGGGGUGCUCGAGUGGCGAACGGGUGAGUAACACGUGAGUAACCUGCCCUUGACUUUGGGAUAACUUCAGGAAACUGGGGCUAAUACCGGAUAGGAGCUCCUGCUGCAUGGUGGGGGUUGGAAAGUUUCGGCGGUUGGGGAUGGACUCGCGGCUUAUCAGCUUGUUGGUGGGGUAGUGGCUUACCAAGGCUUUGACGGGUAGCCGGCCUGAGAGGGUGACCGGCCACAUUGGGACUGAGAUACGGCCCAGACUCCUACGGGAGGCAGCAGUGGGGAAUAUUGCACAAUGGGCGGAAGCCUGAUGCAGCAACGCCGCGUGCGGGAUGACGGCCUUCGGGUUGUAAACCGCUUUCGCCUGUGACGAAGCGUGAGUGACGGUAAUGGGUAAAGAAGCACCGGCUAACUACGUGCCAGCAGCCGCGGUGAUACGUAGGGUGCGAGCGUUGUCCGGAUUUAUUGGGCGUAAAGGGCUCGUAGGUGGUUGAUCGCGUCGGAAGUGUAAUCUUGGGGCUUAACCCUGAGCGUGCUUUCGAUACGGGUUGACUUGAGGAAGGUAGGGGAGAAUGGAAUUCCUGGUGGAGCGGUGGAAUGCGCAGAUAUCAGGAGGAACACCAGUGGCGAAGGCGGUUCUCUGGGCCUUUCCUGACGCUGAGGAGCGAAAGCGUGGGGAGCGAACAGGCUUAGAUACCCUGGUAGUCCACGCUGUAAACGGUGGGUACUAGGUGUGGGGUCCAUUCCACGGGUUCCGUGCCGUAGCUAACGCUUUAAGUACCCCGCCUGGGGAGUACGGCCGCAAGGCUAAAACUCAAAGGAAUUGACGGGGCCCCGCACAAGCGGCGGAGCAUGCGGAUUAAUUCGAUGCAACGCGUAGAACCUUACCUGGGUUUGACAUGGAUCGGGAGUGCUCAGAGAUGGGUGUGCCUCUUUUGGGGUCGGUUCACAGGUGGUGCAUGCCUGUCGUCAGCUCGUGUCGUGAGAUGUUGGGUUAAGUCCCGCAACGAGCGCAACCCUUGUUCACUGUUGCCAGCACGUUAUGGUGGGGACUCAGUGGAGACCGCCGGGGUCAACUCGGAGGAAGGUGGGGAUGACGUCAAGUCCUCAUGCCCCUUAUGUCCAGGGCUUCACGCAUGCUACAAUGGCUGGUACAGAGAGUGGCGAGCCUGUGAGGGUGAGCGAAUCUCGGAAAGCCGGUCUCAGUUCGGAUUGAGGUCUGCAACUCGACCUCAUGAAGUCGGAGUCGCUAGUAAUCGCAGAUCAGCAACGCUGCGGUGAAUACGUUCCCGGGGCU